GACUAUUAUUUCGAUUAUUGCGAUGGAUCGAUUCAAGUAAUAAAAUUCUUUAGCAAUCAAAUAAUACGCUUACGUCUCUGUCAAGUCUAUUGAAAGGAUUGGUAGUCAAGCAGCGCUGUGUAUUCAUUGUGGUUAUAUUCGAUAAAGAGUCUGAAGAUUGCCGGAAAAAAACAGUGUAAGCUAAUCCAUUACAAUAAAAGAGAAACAACGUCGUCAUAAAGUCAAUACCUUUACGUGGUGUUCAUAAUGUGUCUUGGUUUAUUUCGACAUUUAUUUAAAUGUGUAUAUUAUAAUUAUUAUUGAUGAGUAUAAUCGGUUACAGAUCGGUACGAAAUUUCCACGUUAAUAAUUCGUUGAUAUAAAUAGAUUAGUGAUUAGCUUAUCUUAUAGCUCUGUACAUGUAUUGUAUCCGGUCAUAGUGUAUGAGAUCAUGAUCUGAACAUUAUGAUGGAUUCUCUGCGACAUAUAAAAGAUCCUUCUACUUUCUAUAAUAGUAAAUGCUUUGAAAAGGAUACGGCCUAGAUAUGUGUGCAUUAAGACGACAUGUACAGCCGUGAAAAAAAGGUUAUUUGAUACGGUGUUAAAUUCAACAAAACGCCCUGUCUUGUGAGCGUGGCAUUGUCUUUUGCCAUUUUAUCUGUUUCUUUUUUAUCAAAUUUUCAACAAUAAUAAAAUGAAAAAACAAUUCUUUCGAGUUAAACAACUAGCAGAUCAGACAUUUUCCAGGGCCGGAAAAACGGAAGUUCUUACUGAUGAUCUCCAGGCCGCUGAUAAGCAUGUAGAACAAAUUAGGGCUGCUUUAACUGGAUUAAGUAAACGGUUAGGUGUUCCACCUAAUCAAACCAAUACCCAAGAUCCUGCGUACAAAGAAAAGCGUUUGAAAAAAUGUUCAGAGUUUAUUCUUGGCCAAACGAUGUUAGAAAAUGCUGCUGAAGAAGGUCUUAUGAGUUUUGCUUUAUCAGAAUGUGGUAGAGCACAAGUGGCAUUAGCUCAUGAGACUGUUGAUCAUGAAGCAAAAGUUGAACAAUACGUGGCUGCGCCACUUCAUCAUAUUCUCGAGACUGAUGUGCCCAAUAUCAUUAAACAUAAGAGGAAUUUAGCUAGGUUGACUCUAGAUAUGGAUAGUGCAAAAACUAGAUAUUUACAAGCCAGUAAACAUAAUGCUGGAGGUGCUGGAGCGACAAAAGUUGACAGCUUGCGUGAGGAGUUAGAAGAGGCUGAGAUCAAAGUAGAACAAUGUCGAGAUCAAUUGGCAGCCGAAAUGUUUCAAUUAAUGUCCAGGGAAACGGAACUUGCUCAAACUAUAAUACAGUAUGUAAAACUCCAGCGAGCUUAUCAUGAAAGUGCCUUGCAUUGCUUAGAAGAACUUAUUCCUGGGCUAGAGAGUUACAUAAAUGACAAUGAGAUGAAACCAGUAUAUGGUUAUCCACUCGAAGAACAUUUGAGAGUAACAAAUAGAAAAAUUGCUUUGCCAAUUCAGUUGUGCGUGUCGACAUUGUUAAGACUUGGAAUGGAAGAAGAAGGAUUAUUUAGGAUAGCAGGAGGUGCAUCGAAAUUAAGAAGAAUUAAGCUGAGUUUGGAUGCUUGUUGCUUGACCCUACCAACUGCCCUAGAAUACAAAGAUCCUCAUGUAGUAGCGGGAGCAUUAAAGUCAUAUCUACGCGAAUUACCUGAGCCUCUUCUUACCUUUAAGUUAUAUCCAGAAUGGAUGGCGGCUGCUAAAAUAACUCAAAGUGAUGCCAGAUUGCGUGCUCUCUGGGAAGUACUGCAUAAACUUCCUCCUGCCAAUUUGGAAAAUUUAAGGUUUCUUAUUAAGUUUUUAGCUGUUUUAACAAAAAAUUCGGAUGUUAAUAAAAUGUCACCUCAAAAUAUUGCAAUUGUGAUUGCUCCGAAUUUAAUUUGGAGUCCUCAGGAAGAUAUAAAUACUAUGGUAAUGAACAUGAGUACCGCCAAUAACUCUAGUCUCAUCGUUGAUCAAUUAAUUACAUAUGCUGAUUGGUUUUUCCCUGGAGAAAUUGAUUUUGAUCGUGAUUUAGACGUUGGAAUGAUGAAUGGUGCUGAACGUCAAGUAGUCGGUAUGCGAAGAUGUAUAUCAAAUAGUAGUUUGAGUGAUCUAGGAGAAAGUCCACCUCAAGGUAGUCCAAAGCCAGCAGCAAGACGGAAAAAUAAACCAGCACCAACACCACCAAGCAGUACACCGGAUAAACACGAACAUAGAGUAAAUGAUAAACCACCGCCAGCUCCUGACAAACCUCCACGACCUUUAACAACGGCAACGUUAAAUCGUCAUACUUAUAAAGCUCAAAAGCAUGAAGUUAAUAUUGAAUUAACUCAUCCUCAUCUUGAGAAUAAAUCAGAAAAGUUAGAAAAAAAUUUGGAAAAUGAAGUAAAAAAUCAACCUCUUGGGUUUGAAGGUAUUGUAAAUGUUGAAGCCAUUGAAAAUCAUGUAAAGCCAAUGGAAUUACGAAAUCAAGGCCAAGACGCAACAAAAGUUGAAAAUGACAAUGAAGAAAAACGAAAAAAUUCGGAUUCUUCUGCACCAAUUGGAUUUGAAUGUAUAAAUAUACGUAUUAAUACUGGCACUAAUCAAGUAAAAGAUUCUGAAAAUCAGGAUCUACCAAAAUCGAAACCAAUUCCUGCUGACAAACCAACAACAUCAACUUUAGAACGACGCAAAAUGCCCGUUGCCGCUCCAAGAACAAUAACAAACGUAAUUAAUCCAAAUUCAGAUGACGUAGUUGAGAUACGUAAAAAAAAUGAUAAUCCAACAAAUAAUUCAUCGCCAAUCGAUAGAAAUAGUAAACCUGCCAUUCCUGAACGUCCUGCUGGAUUAACAAGACCAUCAAGUUUGGUCAGGCACCUACGUCAAAGCAACGAUAACUUGGAUGCUGAUGUCGGAGGUUCAAAGGAUUAUGCUUCUUAUCCCAAAUCAUAGUGACUAUUCAUAUAAUCGUAGCCUUUGACAUUGGAGAGGACGCAUGUAUAUUCUGUCGAUAAACAACAGAGAAGUCCUAGUGUGGGAAGUCGACCAUCCUCAGUGUCUUUUACCAAUGAACGUCCAGAAA
rnacentral:misc_RNA from 1 species